CGUUGCUCAGGUGGCUAGCCACGCGGGCGCACAAGUAACCCACACGAGUUCGAUCCCUGGGAUCGUAAGUCGCGUGUCUCACCCGAGGAUUUUUCUCUCACACGCGUGCGCACCUUAAAAUCCUAAACGUGUGAUAGGGACACGCAUGCGUGUGUGUGCAUGUGUUGUGUUGUGGUGUGAGUGUGGUGUGUGUUCGUGGGCGUCCGAGUUGUACCCUUCCAAACAGCGAUGAUCGCGAAGUCUUCGUGUGGAAUGUCUUGUAUUCCAUGAAACAGUCACGGUACCACUUUGAUGUCUUUGCUGUCAUGUUUAUACUCUAUUCAGUUUGAUA
rnacentral:lncRNA from 1 species